rnacentral:tRNA from 1 species
GGUGGUUUGGCUCAAUGGGUAGAGGUAAGGGCUCGCAACCAUGAGGUACGGGUUCGAGUCUCGCAAAAGGCA